rnacentral:rRNA from 1 species
GAGGAAAGAGGGAGGCGUGCCUAAUACAUGCAAGUCGAGCGAACAGACGAGGAGCUUGCUCCUCUGACGUUAGCGGCGGACGGGUGAGUAACACGUGGAUAACCUACCUAUAAGACUGGGAUAACUUCGGGAAACCGGAGCUAAUACCGGAUAAUAUAUUGAACCGCAUGGUUCAAUAGUGAAAGACGGUUUUGCUGUCACUUAUAGAUGGAUCCGCGCCGCAUUAGCUAGUUGGUAAGGUAACGGCUUACCAAGGCAACGAUGCGUAGCCGACCUGAGAGGGUGAUCGGCCACGCUGGAACUGAGACACGGUCCAGACCCCUACGGGAGGCAGCAGUAGGGAAUCUUCCGCAAUGGGCGAAAGCCUGACGGAGCAACGCCGCGUGAGUGAUGAAGGUCUUCGGAUCGUAAAACUCUGUUAUUAGGGAAGAACAAAUGUGUAAGUAACUAUGCACGUCUUGACGGUACCUAAUCAGAAAGCCACGGCUAACUACGUG